GAUGAACGCUAGCUACAGGCUUAACACAUGCAAGUCGAGGGGCAGCAUUAUCGAAGCUUGCUUUGAUAGAUGGCGACCGGCGCACGGGUGAGUAACGCGUAUCCAACCUUCCCCAUAGUCAGGAAUAGCCCGGCGAAAGUCGAAUUAAUGCCUGAUGUUUUCCACGGACGGCAUCUGAUGUGGAACAAAGAUUGAUCGCUAUGGGAUGGGGAUGCGUCUGAUUAGCUUGUUGGCGGGGUAACGGCCCACCAAGGCAACGAUCAGUAGGGGUUCUGAGAGGAAGGUCCCCCACAUUGGAACUGAGACACGGUCCAAACUCCUACGGGAGGCAGCAGUGAGGAAUAUUGGUCAAUGGGCGGAAGCCUGAACCAGCCAAGUAGCGUGAGGGAUGACUGCCCCUAUGGGUUGUAAACCUCUUUUAUAAGGGAAUAAAAUACGGGACGUGUCCUGUUUUGCAUGUACCUUAUGAAUAAGGACCGCUAAUUCCGUG
rnacentral:rRNA from 1 species